AGGAUUCCCCUAGUAACUGCGAGUGAAGCGGGAAAAGCUCAAAUUUUGAAUCUGGCGGUUCGAUGGAAGCGUCCGAAUUGUAAUCUAGAGAAGUGUUAUCCGCGCUGGCCCGUGUACAAGUCUCCUGGAAGGGAGCAUCAUAGAGGGUGAGAAUCCCGUCUUUGACACGGAGUACCAGGGCUAUGUGAUACGCUCUCGACGAGUCGAGUUGUUUGAGAAUGCAGCUCAAAACGGGUGGUAAAUUCCAUCUAAAGCUAAAUAUUGGCGAGAGACCGAUAGCGAACAAGUACCGUGAGGGAAAGAUGAAAAGAACUUUGAAAAGAGAGUUAAACAGUACGUGAAAUUGCUGAAAGGGAAACGCUUGAUGUCAGUCGCGUCGGCUGGGGAUCAACCUUGUGUGAAUAACGCUGGGUGUACUUCCUGGUGGACGGGUCAGCAUCAGUUUCUAUUCCGUUCGUAGAAUGAUCAAGGGAAAGUGGCACUCUUAGGAGUGUGUUUAUAGCCUUUGGUCGUAUGCGGGGAUGGGAGACUGAGGAAAGAAAAUCUCAGCACGGUCUAAUAACGGGCUUGUGUUUAGGAUGCUGGCGAAAUGGCCUUAAGCGACCCGUCUUGAAACACGGACCAAGGAGUCUAACAUGCAUGCGAGUGUUUGGGUGAUGAAACUCAUGCGCGAAAUGAAAGUGAAAGUCGAGAGCUCUGUCGUGGAGCGCAUCGACGCCCGGACGGUAGUCAUUGACUAGAUGUCUGCGGUAGAGCAUGUAUGCUAGGACCCGAAAGAUGGUGAACUAUGCCUGAAUAGGGUGAAGCCAGAGGAAACUCUGGUGGAAGCUCGUAGCGAUUCUGACGUGCAAAUCGAUC
rnacentral:rRNA from 1 species